AUCGAGGCUAGAGUCACGCUCGGGUAUCAACUAUUGCCUUAGUGUGCUAGAGCUCUCGAAAAGUAACUACUGACCUUAUUCACUGACUAUGGCCCCCAUGGCAUAGUCAGUCACCAGGUUCGUAACAUGC
rnacentral:snoRNA from 1 species